GUCAUGAUAGUGGUCUAGAGGCAUGAUUCCUGCUUUGGGUGCAGGAGGUCCCGGGUUCGAAUCCCGGUUUGGACC
rnacentral:tRNA from 1 species